GGAUGAACGCUGGCGGCGUGCUUAACACAUGCAAGUCGAACGAAGCUACUUCAACUUAACCAAAGUAGUAGCUUGCUACUAGGAGGUUACCCGAAGAGACUUAGUGGCGGACGGGUGAGUAACGCGUGGGUAACCUACCCUAUACAGGGGGAUAACAAUUAGAAACUGAUUGCUAAGUACCGCAUAAGACUACAGCUUCGCAUGAAGUGGUAGCCAAAACGCUUUAGUGGUAUAGGGAUGGACCCGCGUCUGAUUAGCUAGUUGGUAAGGUAACGGCUUACCAAGGCGACGAUCAGUAGCCGGCCUGAGAGGGCGACCGGCCACAUUGGGACUGAGACACGGCCCAGACUCCUGCGGGAGGCAGCAGUGGGGAAUAUUGCACAAUGGGGGAAACCCUGAUGCAAGCGACGCCGCGUGAGUGAUGAAGUAUUUCGGUAUGUAAAGCUCUAUCAGCAGGGAAGAAACAAGACGGUACCUGACUAAGAAGCCCCGGCUAACUACGUGCCAGCCGCCGC
rnacentral:rRNA from 1 species